GGAUCAUUAUUGAAUUCAUAUAUGCAAAAGAGUUGUGCUGGUUUUUUUUAGCAUGUGCACACUCUGGAGCUAUAUACACAUACACACCUGUGAACCACCUGUAGUUAAGAGAAAUCUUGACUAUGAUCCAUCUAUACAACUCUAUUGAAUACUACAUAGAACAAUGUUAAAAACGAAAUAUAUACAACUUUCAACAACGGAUCUCUUGGCUCUUGCAUCGAUGAAGAACGCAGCGAAAUGCGAUAAGUAAUGUGAAUUGCAGAAUCCAGUGAAUCAUCGAAUCUUUGAACGCACCUUGCGCCCUUUGGUAUUCCGAGGGGCAUGCCUGUUUGAGAGUCAUUAAAUUCUCAACCUUACAAUUUUUUGUUGUUAAGGCUUGGAUAUGAGAGUUGCUAGUAUAAUUUACUGGCUCUCUUUAAAGUUAUUAGUAGGACAUGUGGAAAUGCCUACAGUUGGUGUGAUAAUAUGUCUACGCCUAUACUGAAGGGGAUUCUAUCUUGUGGUGUACUACUUAUAAAACUAUGCGCAUAUAUCUAGUAUAUAGGUGCAUAUAUUGACUA
rnacentral:rRNA from 1 species